rnacentral:miRNA from 1 species
UGUCAUACUUUUCCACAGCUUUCUUGAACUGCAUAUAAUUGUAUGGACAAAACCCAUUUGCAGUUCAAUUAAGCUGUGGGAAGAUAUGGAGA